AAAUACUUUGUAGACAAUGACAAGCUGAUUCUAAACUUUAUAUGCAAAGCGAAAAGAACCAAAACAAUUUUGAAAAUGAAGUUGGAGGAGACAUAUUACCUGAUUUUAUGCUUUACUAUAAACCUACAGUAAGACAGACAACGUGGUACUGAAAAAAAGGUAGACAAAUGAAAUAAUGGGAUAUGAUAAGGAAUCCACAAAGAGACCCACACAAACAGAACCAAUUGCUUUUUGAUAAAGAUGCAAAGGAAAUUUAAUGCACACAGAAUAGUCCAUCUACAAAAGAAUGACUAAAAUAAAAAAACACCAACAAUAUGAAGAGCUGGCAAGAAUGUGGAGCAAUUAGGACACUCAUAUAUUUGUGGUGGGAAUGCAAAAUUUACAGCCACAUUGGAAAGGCGGUUUGUAAUUUCUUACUAGUUAGUUAAACAUGCACUUGUCACACGACCCAGCAAUCCCAUGCGGUGUUUAGUCAAGAUAAAUGAAGACCAAGUUCACACAAAAACCUGUAGGUGGAUGUUUAUAAUGUCGGCUUACACAUUCCAAAUGUCUUCUGCUGAUGAAUGGGUUUUUAAAAAUUGUAGUACAUCCGUAAAUGAAGUACCUCAGCAAUAAAAAGGAAGGAACUAUUGACACAUACAAGGUCCUGGAUGGAUCUCCAACGCAUUAGGUGAAAGAAACCAGACUCAAAGGCUACAAUCUGCAUGAUUCCACUAAUGACACCAUAGAAAUGGCUGAACUACGGGAAUGGGGAAGAGCUCAGUGAUGUGAGCAGUGGGCUGACUUCAAAGGACAGGAUUGUUGAAGGCGACAGAAUCUUGACUGUGGUGAUGACUGCCUAGCUGCGUGUUUGUCCAAAUUCACAGAACCAUAUACUGUUAAGAGUGAAUUUUACUGUAAAUUGUUAAAAUUAUUUGAUAGGCCAGGUGCAGUGGCUCAUGCCUGUAAUCCCAGGAGACUCCAUCUCUACAAAAAAACCCUUAAAAAUUAGCUGGGCAUGGUGGUGCACACCUGUAGUCCCAGCUACUCUGGAGGCUGAGGCGGGAGGAUUGCUCCUCUAGGCUGCAGUGAGCUAUGAUCGUCCCACUGUCCUCCUGCCUGGGUGACAGAGCAAGACCCUGUCUCGAUAAUAACAAUAAUAUCAAGGUUGUAUUUAAGAGAAAGGUCGAAAUGGCUAAAUGCACCAGCUCUGGAGUCAGACACUCUGCUCCGCUAUGACUUGCAGGCUCCAGACCCUGAGCGUGCCUUGGUUUCCUCAUCGUAAAG
rnacentral:lncRNA from 10 species